ACGGGUGAGUAACGCGUGGGAACGUGCCCUUCGGUUCGGAAGAACUCAGGGAAACUUGAGCUAAUACCGGAUACGCCCUUUUGGGGAAAGGUUUACUGCCGAAGGAUCGGCCCGCGUCUGAUUAGCUAGUUGGUGAGGUUACGGCUCACCAAGGCGACGAUCAGUAGCUGGUCUGAGAGGAUGAUCAGCCACACUGGGACUGAGACACGGCCCAGACUCCUACGGGAGGCAGCAGUGGGGAAUAUUGGACAAUGGGGGCAACCCUGAUCCAGCCAUGCCGCGUGAGUGAUGACGGCCUUAGGGUUGUAAAGCUCUUUUCUCCGGGACGAUAAUGACGGUACCGGAGGAAUAAGCCCCAGCUAACUUCGUGCCAGCAGCCGCGGUAAUACGAAGGGGGCUAGCGUUGCUCGGAAUCACUGGGCGUAAAGGGCGCGUAGGCGGCUGAUUUAGUCGAGGGUGAAAGCCCGUGGCUCAACCACGGAAUGGCCUUCGAUACUGGUUGGCUUGAGACCGGAAGAGGACAGCGGAACUGCGAGUGUAGAGGUGAAAUUCGUAGA
rnacentral:rRNA from 1 species